CAAGGAUCAAACUGCCCUCUUUAUUAAAUUGAGGGGGGAGAGCGACCACCUCUUCACCGGGGCAAAGUUUUCUGCCAACGUGGCUUGGAGGACAACUUUGGAGAAAAUGGGCCUGUGGGGGAAGGUGACUUCCCUCCAAGCGAAAAAAAAGUGGGACAAUU